CUCUCUCUCUCUCUCUCUCCCUCUCUCUCUCUCCCCUCCCACUCUCUCCUCCCUCGCUCACCACGGUGGAGUCCAGUGUGUUCUGUGAUAAAGGAAUUUUCUCCCCCCGCCUCCCCCGUCAGUGUGUGCUGUCAGCAGCGGAGCGGGAACAUGCAGCAUCCUGGAGGAACGUGCGUCGCGCUGCCGAACGUGGACGCCUGUCCGCAGCUGUCCUGCGCUGCCCUCACCUUCAUGUAUCUACAGCAGCAGGGUAACCAGGACUCACCGGCGCCCUCGGACCCGUCCAUGGCUCAGGCUUACCCAUCGGCCCAGUUCGCUCCCACUCCUCAGAACAACAUUCCAGCCGAGUUCACAGCUUCCCACCCGCACCAACUUCCACACUCCCGUCCACAUCCGCAGCACCGUCCUGCUGCCGCCCCACAAGACUACACCGGGGUCCAGACCUCCGUCUGUGACCGUCCGCUCAGCAUGUACGAGUCCUCGCAGAGCCUGAGCGAACAGGGCGGGUCGGACUCCUGCUGUCAGACGGUCAGCGGCACAGCCACACAGACAGACGACUCCGUGCUCCACACAGACAGUCAGUCUUCCGUCCACACUCCACCUGACAGCACGGAAGCCAAGGUCCAGCCCAAAAGACUCCACGUCUCCAACAUCCCCUUCAGGUUCAGAGACCCGGACCUCAGACAAAUGUUUGGACAAUUUGGCAAAAUCCUAGACGUCGAAAUCAUCUUCAACGAGCGGGGGUCAAAGGGUUUUGGAUUCGUAACGUUUGAGCACAGUGUGGACGCCGACAAAGCCCGGGAGAAAUUGCAUGGCACUGUGGUAGAAGGUCGUAAAAUAGAGGUCAACAACGCAACGGCCCGGGUCAUGACCAAUAAGAAAACAGUCAACCCCUAUGCAAACGGCUGGAAGUUAAAUCCAGUGGUCAGUGCUGUCUGCAGCCCAGAACUCUAUGCAGUACCAGGUUUCCCUUACCCAGCAGCCAGUGCAGCAGCAGCGGCGUACAGAGGAGCCCACCUACGAGGUCGAGGACGGAGCGUAUACAACACGUUCAGAGCAGCCGCCCCUCCCCCACACAUCCCAGCCUACGGAGGCGUUGUUUAUCAGGACGGACUCUACGGUGCAGAUAUCUAUGGUAGUUAUGCAGCCUACAGAUACACCCAGCCCUCCGCUGCCACAGCUGCUGUAUACAGUGACAGUUAUGGACGAGUGUACGCCGCCGACCCCUACAACCACACGCUCACUCCUGCAGCCACGUACAGCAUCGGUGCCAUGAAUGCCUUUGCCCCGUUGACAGAUGGCAAAAGUCGGAGUCACGCUGAAGACAUGGGGCUGGUGCUGUCCUCGCUGCAGGCCAGUAUAUACCGAGGAGGCUACAGUCGCUUCACUCCCUAUUAGCAACACUUCCAAGUUACUGUAUCAACGAACCUCCGACGGGACCGAGAGAAGGAGGUUUCUCCACGGUUCUCAGAGAAAGCUGCCCAAAGCCGUUAGCGUUGUACAGAACACCGACACUGUAGGACACACCCACGCCCUCCUCGCCGUCUCCACCGGCUGCUGGAUCCUCUCUGCUCCUGCAGCAGAGCUAAUGUGGCUCAGCGUGGUCCGCCUGGUGUAAAAUAUAAACGUCUGCAGACGUCUGACCUGAGAGGCGGACGGCAAAGAAUUCAAACGCAUCUUUGGAAAACGGUGGAAGCUACAGUCACAGAGCAGCAGGGGGCGACCUUUAACGAUUACACAGCGUUGCAAACCAAAGUGCAUUCACGUUUGGAAUGAAAUGAAAUGAUGUAAAAAUGUGGUUAAAAUAACGGUGGUUUGUCGAUGACCUACCGUCGCUGAACCGUCCCAACCCGACACAACGAUGUCACUCAAAUACAAAUUACUAGGACUGUAUGUUGGGGGAAGAACAGGAGGGGGAGGGAGGGGGGAGUACACAGGCUGUCGUUACUUAGCCGAGAUAAAAUAUUUGUAAUAUAUUAUAAAGGUACAUUUCACAUUUAUCAACCUUUACGGUUUUAUUUACCAGUGCUGCUAAAAGUGUUUGUGGACGAGGGCAGAAUACUGUAGAAAAGAGAGGUGAAGGAUUUUAAUGGUUGGACAAAAAAAAACUAUACCUGUGUUUCCUGUUUCUGAGUUUAGUAAAAAAAAAGAAAAGUACAUUUAAAUGAACCAAAUUUCAGAUGUCAAAGGUCAUCCUCCUGGAAUUCUCCGACGGAAAGACCACUGAAGAAGAAGAAGAAGAAGAGAGACC